rnacentral:misc_RNA from 1 species
UCCGCAGUCCCCGUUCACAACGUCGACACUCCAGCAGGAAGCCAGCCGCAAGCUCGGUUUCGCGCCAGCCCACACCAUGCGCAUUGCCCAGCGCCUUUAUGAAGGUAUCGACAUCGGCGGGGGGNNNNNNNNNNNNUAUAUGCGUACCGACGGUGUGCAGAUCGACCCGUCCGCCAUCACGCAGGCGCGCAAGGUCAUCGGCGAGGACUACGGCAAAGCCUAUGUGCCGGACUCGCCGCGCCAGUACA